UACGCUACUAAACUGUGUCGCUACAUAU
rnacentral:piRNA from 1 species